rnacentral:rRNA from 1 species
GCAGGCGAGAAUUAUUCGCAAUGGGCGAGAAGCCUGACGAUGCGACGCCGUGUGAACGAAGAAGGCCUUAGGGUUGUAAAGUUCUUUCGCCUAAGAACAAGAGAGAUCUCUGAAUAUGGGGUCAAUUUGAGGGUAUUAGGUAAAGAAGCACCGGCUAACUCUGUGCCAGCAGCUGCGGUAAUACAGAGGGUGCAAGCAUUAAUCGGAUUUAUUGGGCGUAAAGGGCGCGUAGGCGGAAGCAAAAGUUUGGCGUGAAAUUUCGAGGCUCAACCUCGAAGCGGCGCUGAAAACUCUGCUUCUCGAGGAUGGGCGGGGAAAACGGAAUUCCACAAGUAGCGGUGAAAUGCGUAGAUAUGUGGAAGAACACCGGUGGCGAAGGCGGUUUUCUAGCUUACUCCUAACGCUGAGGCGCGAAAGCAAGGGGAUCAAACAGGAUUAGAUACCCCCGUAGUCC